GAGCAGGUCUGUCCGAGCGUCUGCCUGCCAAACAAGUUGUCGUACGUGACGACAAGAGUGAGGAGCUGCGAUUGCGGGUCAUUCUGCACUCCUUUAAAAUGUGUGGCCGUACGAUGUGACAAGACGGCGGAAAGACAGUCGUCACCGUAACAAGUUGUUUCGCCCGUGGCUUGUCCGUGAUGACCAUCUAGACCUCGGAUCAGG
rnacentral:misc_RNA from 1 species